rfam:Mesocricetus auratus contig114433, whole genome shotgun sequence.
GGAGAGGUGGCUCAGAGGUUAAGAGCAUUGACUGUUAUUCCAGAGGCCCUGAGUUUAAUUCCCAGCAACCUCA